rnacentral:rRNA from 1 species
GAUGAACGCUGGCGGCGCGCCUAACACAUGCAAGUCGAACGAUUAAAGCACCUUCGGGUGUGUAUAAAGUGGCGAACGGCUGAGUAACACGUGGGCAACCUGCCCCUUUCAUUGGGAUAGCCACGGGAAACCGUGGAUAAUACCGAAUACUUCGAGACUUCCGCAUGGAAGACUCGAGAAAGCUCCGGCGGAGAGGGAUGGGCCCGCGGCCUGUUAGCUUGUUGGUGGGGUAACGGCCUACCAAGGCAAUGAUGGGUAGCUGGGUUGAGAGACCGACCAGCCAGAUUGGGACUGAGACACGGCCCAGACUCCUACGUGAGGCAGCAGUGGGGAAUCUUGCACAAUGGGCGAAAGCCUGAUGCAGCGACGCCGCGUGCGGGAUGAAGGCCUUCGGGUUGUAAACCGCUUUCAGCAGGGACGAGGCGAAAGUGACGGUACCUGCAGAAGAAGCCCCGGCUAACUACGUG